UGACCUCANAUCAGGUAGGACUACCCGCUGAACUUAA
rnacentral:rRNA from 1 species